rnacentral:rRNA from 1 species
AAUCAACGCUGGCGGCGUGCCUCAGACAUGCAAGUCGAACGCGAAAGUUUCCUUCGGGAAACAAGUAGAGUGGCGCACGGGUGAGUAACACGUAGGUAAUCUACCUUCGGAUGGGGAAUAACAAUCGGAAACGAUUGCUAAUACCGCAUAAUGCAGCGGCACCUAAUGGUGACAGUUGUUAAAGCGGGGGAUCGAAAGACCUCGCGUCUGAAGAGGAGCCUGCGGCGGAUUAGCUAGUUGGUAAGGUAAUGGCUUACCAAGGCUACGAUCCGUAACCGGCCUGAGAGGGCGGUCGGUCACACUGACACUGACAUACGGGUCAGACUCCUACGGGAGGCAGCAGUCGGGAAUUUUGGGCAAU